AGCAGUCGCCGCGGGAAUACGGAGGGUGCAAGCGUUAAUCGGAAUUACUGGGCGUAAAGCGCACGCAGGCGGUCUGACAAGUCAGAUGUGAAAUCCCCGGGCUUAACCUGGGAACUGCAUUUGAAACUGUCAGGCUGGAGUCUUGUAGAGGGGGGUGGAAUUCCAGGUGUAGCGGUGAAAUGCGUAGAGAUCUGGAGGAAUACCGGUGGCGAAGGCGGCCCCCUGGACAAAGACUGACGCUCAGGUGCGAAAGCGUGGGGAGCAAACAGGAUUAGAGACCCCUGUAGUCCCUGUCUCUUAUAC
rnacentral:rRNA from 1 species